AGUUUUUGGUGAUGUGUAUAAGCUAAUUUUUCUUUUUAAAACUUAUCCAAAACCCUCUGCGACAUAACCAAACCAAACUGCUUACUCCAAUUUCUCCAUCAGAGUAGACUUAAAGCUUUCAACUUUUUAAAGAAAAUCAAAUCACACAAACACAAAAAUGGUUACAAUCCACACCCUUACACGAUCUCUGGGUCACUACUGCUCGAAAAAGGCGAAAGUUCACAGCUUUCAUCAAUUAUUCGAUUUGGGGAAACUAAUUGUUUCUUCUGAGAUUUCGAAUGGUAAAACUGAUAACAGUUCUCACCAAUUCCAAACCCGUAGAACCCUAAUCUUGGAAUCAGUCUCCUCUGAAUCAGUGAAGCUUAAAAGACUUCCAGACUCAGAUUCUGGUAUUAUGGAGGUGAAUUUGGAUAGGCCAGGAGCUAAAAAUGCUAUUGGGAAGGAAAUGCUGAGGGGGUUAAGGAAUACUUUUGAAACAAUUAAUAAUGACGCCUCCGCUAAUGUUGUUAUGAUUUGCAGCUCUGUUCCUAAAGUGUUCUGUGCAGGAGCUGAUUUGAAGCUCUACAUUUUACUGGAUUGGCAGGAGCGUAAGAUAAUGACUCCAUCUGAAGUGCAGUUUUUUGUCAACUCAUUGCGGUCCACAUUCUCACUUGUGGAGGAUCUUUGUAUUCCUACUAUCGCUGUUAUUGAAGGAGCAGCUUUGGGUGGCGGACUUGAAAUGGCUUUAUCAUGUGAUCUUCGGAUAUGUGGAGAAGAUGCAGUAUUGGGCUUGCCAGAAACAGGACUUGCUAUAAUUCCUGGAGCAGGUGGGACUCAAAGACUUCCUAGAUUGGUUGGAAAAUCUGUGGCAAAGGAGCUUAUAUUUACUGGUCGGAAGAUUGGUGGAAGAGAGGCCAUGUCAAUGGGUCUUGUCAAUUACUCUGUGCCUGCUGGUGAAGCUCGUUUAAAGGCUCUUGAAGUUGCUCGGGAAAUUAAUCAGAAGGGUCCAAUAGCAAUAAGGAUGGCAAAAAAGGCAAUUAAUGAGGGACUGAAGGUAGAUAUGGCAUCAGCUUUGGAAUUGGAAGAAGAGUGUUAUGAGCAGCUCAUGGACACAAAAGAUCGCCUGGAAGGCUUGGCGUCAUUUGCUGAAAGGCGGAAACCAAGAUAUAGGGGGGAGUAAACAGAAAAGAAUUGUACUAACAAGCAAUUUCUUGACAAAGUUGCAGAAAAGCAGAAGCCAAGGCACACAUGGGAAUAAAAUAAUACAGAUAAGCAAUUUCAAACUUAAGAACUAACAUCAUUUCCACUCAAGAGGAAUCGGCAGCUCCCUCCACCGCUGUCGCCGCCGCUCCUUAUCUCCAUCGACAAUGAAUGACACUUACCAAACCAGAGAUAGCAAACGAUAGACACGUUUGAAUGCUGCCGACAUUGAUCCACGUUCGAACGCCACCACUAAUCUGUCCAUUCCUUCGAGUUCCACUGCCGCUAGUCAAUCCGAUCCGGACUUGCCCCAACUAGCCUCUAUCGCCUCUGCACUUGAUUUUCUACAAGCUCAUUCAAACACUGUAAAGAAGAAAGCAAGUGAAAAUAGUGACAGCGUUGAUGCGAUUUGGUCUGUGCAUAGCAGAUGUUGUGUUGAGAAAGCAUUUGAGUCUUUUGGAGAUAACAGUCUCAAUUCUCCGCCUAUUGAGAUUUCCUUCAUGCCUCAAAGAAAACGAGCAUGAUUUCUUGGAUCCAUUACAAUAUCCAUUCCCGAUUGAAUGGCAUUACAAACAAUACACUAGAAAGACAAAUAACAUUAUGAUUCUUAUCUUAUCAAUUGCAGUGUAUUUGUUAGUUCUGAUUUUAUUUUUAUUUUCAGUUUGGAAUUUUGUUUGAAUUGCAAGAAAGUGAAAGAAAAAGAAAUUUAUUGA